rnacentral:lncRNA from 1 species
UCGUUGGUUAAUAGCUUCACCAAAAGUCGUCGAUGCGUUUUAAAUAGCGUUAUUAUAUGGUUAACGAACAAGACUUAAAUGAGAUUAAUUUCACUCCCGGCAUGCUUAAAGACUUAAACUACGUCACAUAAGUCAGGAAGUUUGAAGAAAUUAAAUUAAGAAUUCCGAAUUUUCUUCUUUAUUACUUUUCAUAUCAAAAUAAAACUU